AGUAGGGAAUAUUGGUCAAUGGGCGCAAGCCUGAACCAGCCAUGCCGCGUGAGUGACGAAGGCCUUCGGGUCGUAAAACUCUUUUCUGAGGGAAGAACAACCGGGACAGGAAAUGGUCUCGGCCUGACGGUACCUCAGGAAUAAGCAACGGCUAACUCCGUGCCAGCAGCCGCGGUAAUACGGAGGUUGCGAGCGUUGUUCGGAAUAACUGGGCGUAAAGGGAGCGCAGGCGGUCUGGUAAGUCUAAAGUGAAAGCCCGGGGCUUAACCUCGGAAGUGCUUUGGAUACUGUCAGACUCGAGUUCGUAAGAGGAAAGCGGAAUUCCAGGUGUAGCGGUGAAAUGCGUAGAUAUCUGGAGGAACACCGGUGGCGAAAGCGGCUUUCUGGUACGAUACUGACGCUGAGGCUCGAAAGCAUGGGGAGCGAACAGGAUUAGAUACCCUGGUAGUCCAUGCCGUAAACGUUGUGCACUAGGUGUGGGAGGUAUCGACCCCUUCCGUGCCGCAGCUAACGCAUUAAGUGCACCGCCUGGGGAGUACGGUCGCA
rnacentral:rRNA from 1 species